UACAGAGGUCUCAAGCGUUGUUCGGAUUCAUUGGGCGUAAAGGGCGCGUAGGCUGCGGGGCAAGUCGGGUGUGAAAUCUCAGAGCUCAACUCUGAAACUGCACUCGAUACUGCUUUGCUUGAGGACUGGAGAGGAGAUUGGAAUUCACGGUGUAGCAGUGAAAUGCGUAGAUAUCGUGAGGAAGACCAGUGGCGAAGGCGACUUCCUGGCCUGUUCUUGACGCUGAGGCGCGAAAGCUAGGGUAGCAAACGGG
rnacentral:rRNA from 1 species